rnacentral:rRNA from 1 species
GACUCUCGACAACGGAUAUCUUGGCUCUCGCCAUGACGAAGAACGUAGCGAAAUGCGAUACUUGGUGCGAAUUGCAGAAUCCCAUGAAUCAUCGAGUCUUUGAACGCAAGUUGCGCCCGAUGCCGCAGGCUGAGGGCAUGCCUGCCUGGGCGUCA